UAUGUAGUUAGGCUGUGCCUCAUUCCUCUGUCUUACCCCUUCCCCUUAGUUUUGCGCGUUCACGUGAGAGUAAGGGCUAUCCCAAUUCUCAUUUUGAUCGAGGGGUAGGGCUAAGGGGAAGGGGUAUAUACCCCUUA